GCUCCGGUAGAUUAGUGGUUAGAUAGUCCACCUCGGAUGCGGGAGGUCGCGGGUUCGAACCUCCGUCGAGUCA